UUCAGCAAAGGCUCUGCAGCAAGCCUUCCUAAGGCUGCAUAGUCAGUUUUAUAUUAGAUUUUCAGGAUCUGGUUGAAGAGAACCACAGAAUCCUUGGGGUGGAAGAGACCACAAUGGUCAUCUCAAGUAGAGGCUUUCCCUGCCAAUUCUCAUCUCCCAGCAUGGCAUAAUAGACUACUUUGUGAUCCUGCUUAACCCCUACCACACUGUACUAUCAGGUCUGCAAACCAAGUCUCAACUCUGUUCCCAUUUCCUCACCAGUCAGACAGAAGGAAAUGACAACUUACUCUGAGCUGAAGUUUCAGAACCAGGCUGAGCAGCAGAGAGGCCGAAGAUUUCAGGAAGCAGGCAGCAGAGGUGCUGGAGGCAGCCCAAGCCCAUCAAGGAGACAUAAAGCUCUACUUCCUCGAUGGCAGUGUGCUACAGUUGCUCUUGGGAUUCUCUGUCUGGUUUUGUUGAUAGCAACAGGAGUUUUGAGUUACCUGGUUACGAAGCUCAGCCAAGGAAAAGGAAACAACAGCGAGCCGCUGACUUCCUGCUCAGGCCAGCAGCCAGGCCUUCCCAAAAUUCAAGAUAAACAGCCUGGUG